AGCGGGGCUCACGGCGCGGCUAAGCUUGGGGUUAGGCGGGAAGCUCCCGAGACUCGCAGCGGCGACGCGGCAGCGGCUGCCUGGGCCCGGGCGCGCGCGCGCGCGCGAGCGUGAGCGAGCGAGGGGCGGGGCCGCCUCCCCCGCGGGCCGCAGAGAACAUGAGCAGCAAAGAAGGAUCGGGUGGGUUCAGAAAACGAAAGCAUGACAAUUUCCCACAUUGUCAAAGAAAAGAUGAAAAAGACAAUGUUAAUUCGUCUUCAUCUUUGAUGGUGUCUUUUAAGUCAUUUCAACUGGAGCUCGACACAAGACAUGAUAAAUAUGAGAGGCUUGUGAAACUUAGUCGUGAUAUAACUAUUGAAAGUAAAAGGACAAUAUUCCUACUUCACAGAAUUACUAGUGACCCCAAUGGGGAGGAAAUACUAAAUGAAUCUGAGGCCAAAUUAGAAGCUGUCAGACAGAAAAUUAAGCAAGUAGCACAAGAACUGAUAGGAGAGGACAUGUAUCAGUUCCACAGAGCUAUCUCUCCAGGGCUUCAGGAAUAUGUAGAGGCAGUGUCUUUCCAAUAUUUCAUCAAAACACGAUCAUUAAUUAGUGUUAAGGAGAUCAACAAACAGCUAAUGUUUACAAUGGAAGACCAAGAAGAAGAAACAAACACACCCUCCUCCAAUCCAUACGAUAAGCAGCUGUGCACUUGGAGCCUGAAGACUCUGGCCAGCAGGUUGGAAGGAGCUGCAUCAUCCUCCUGAGCCAUGGGCUACGAUGGUCCCAUGAGUUAAUCAUUUCCGUCCUAGCUGACGUCCUUGGUGAAACAUCUCACUGCAGGAGCAUGUCUCUUCCAGCUGCCAGAAGCAGAGAUCUGUUAGGCUCUGAAUGCAGGCAUGAUACUCCCUCCUAUUGCACAAGGCCACUAACUUUUCCAUGUAAUCCUUCCUCUAGACCCACUUCUACCAAGAUGCCAGAGGACAUUACCAACAGAAAUCAAGCUGGGGAUAGUUAAUAAUUUUUAAAACCAAACUAAACCCCUUUGAUUGUAUGUUGUAUCUCAUUCAAUAUUUGUUAUAUCUAUUCAAUUAUUUAAUUAGUGACUUAGAUGACGGAAUGGUGAAUACACUAUAAAAUCUGUGGAUAACUCCAAGCUGGGAGGGGUUGCUAGCACUUUGGAGGACAGGAUUAGAAUUCAGUGUGAUCUUGAGAAAUUGGAGAAUUGGACUGAAAUCAACACGAUGAAAUUAAAUGAAGACGACUGCAAAGUACUACGCUCAGAAAAGAAAAAUCAAAGCACAACUACAAAAUGGGGAAUAACUGGCUAGGAAGGUAGUAUUGCAGAAAAGACUCUGGGGGUUAUAAUGGAUCACAAAUUGAACAGGAGCCAACAACGUGAUGCAGUUAUGAGAAAGGGAAAUAUUCUGGGGUGUAUUAUGUGUUGUAUGUAAGAACUGAGAGGUAAUUGUCCCAAUCUACUCAGCACUGGUGGGGCCUCCACUGGUGCAUUGUAUCCAGUUUUGAGCACAACACUUUAAGAAAUAUAUGGACACAUGGGAGAGAGUCCAGAGGAGAGUAACAAAAAUGAUAAAAGGUUUCGAAAACCUGACUUAGAAGGAAAGGUUAAAAGAACUGGAUAUGUUUAGAGAAGAAAAGGAUGAGAGGGGACAAAGCACCCUUCAAAUAUGUCAAAAGUUGUUAUAAAGAGGAUGGUGAUCAGUUGUUCUCUAUGUCCACAAGGACAGGACAAGAAGUAAUGGGGCUUAAUUUGCAGCAAGGAAGAUUUAGGUUAAAUAUUAGGAAGUUUUCCAAUUCAUAGAGAUAGUUAGGCACUGGAAUAGGUUACAUAGGGAGGUUGGGGAGGUCAUCGGUCUAUCACUGAAGGUUUUUAAGAACAGGUGUAGGUAUACUUAGGCUAUGUCUACACUAUGCCCCUUACAGGGGCACAGCUGUGCCACUACAGCCAUGCCGCUGUAAGGUACGUAGUGUAGCCGAUUUUUGUUGCCGGGAGAGAGCUCUCCUGCCAACAAAAUAAAAAUACUCCCAAUGAGGGGCGGUAGCUUUCUUGUGGGGAGAGAAUUUCCUGCCGAGAAAGCGCUGUCCAAACCAGCGCUUUUCAUUGGUAAAACUUUUGUUGGUCAGGGUGUGGUUUUUUUCACAGCCCUGACCAACAAAAGUUUUAUCAACGAAAGUGCAGUGUAGACAUAGCCUCAAUCCUGUCCCAGCAUGGGGGAUGGAUUAGAUAGCCUCUUGAGGGCCCUCCCAGCCCUACAUUUUAUGAUUCUGAAAAUUGGACUAACUGUGGUGUCAGCUCAAAGUACUGGACAUCAGUUUACUAAUUGUGCUGGGGAUGCAAAGAGCUGGAGGAUGUUUCACUUCUAUUAUUCUGUUUUUAUAAUGAUCUGCAUUACAGCAGUGCCUUUAAGCCCCAACCAGUGUGCUAGGUGCUCUAUAGACACAUAGGGAGAGACAAUUCCUGCUCCAAAGAGUUUGUAGUCUAAAUAUACAAGACAGACAAAAGAAUAGAAGGGGAAAGAGAGGCAUAGAUAGAUGAAGUGACUUGUCCAAGGUCCCACAGCAGGCCAAUGGUAGGGGCAGGUCUCCCAACACUAGACCGCACUGCCUCUAAUCUUAAAAUCCUUUGUACACACACGCCACCAGUAUGUACACAGGAACCAGCUCAGAUCCUUUUGUCGAUAUAUCUAAAUGUAAAUAGUAUUUGUAUGCACCUUUUACCUAAAAUAUUAACAAGCAAAAUUCAAAAGGUAGGUAUAAUACUGUUCAUUUAAAAUAUUUACAGAGAAAUUCAAAUCCGCUUUAAAAAGUGAUACUUGUAUCCACUUUCUUUUGCACUACAUAUUUUCCCAGCCUGUCUUCCCUGUUUUAAUGUGUCUGAAUUUGUGCUGAAAUAAGUACAGCGAAAAUAAUCAGAGAUAUACAUCACCUGCUCACUUUAACAGUAAAGUGAACCUAUAUGAAAUCUCUCCUGUGAAUCCUGCCAAAUGGAUAACAGCAGAACACAUUUCACUCAUAACAUGUAGCAUGAGCAGUCAGACAAGUCAAUGCUACCAUCUUGUGGUGUGAAAUAUUUUCUCUUUUUUUUCCCCGUGCUUUCUCUUCCUUAAGAAUUCCAAUUCUGCUUCUGCCCCUUGUGGCUAUAACUUUAUACACUUGUUGUCUAUCAUGUUUCUCCAUAUAUGUGCAGCAAAAGAUGAGCUUGAAUGUGAACUGAAAGAAUGAUUAUUUUAGGAACUGGGACUCCAGCAUCUCAUGUAUAAUAAAUGUUGCUUAAUGGGUGUGGAGUUUAAUAAAGGAGUUGCUGAGUAAGUUAGACCCCAUUUAUUGUUGUUUAUAUCUAUAAAAAUAGCUCCUCGAUCCCCCAACUGGGGAUGAAGGUCCGAUUGUGCUCAGCAUGGUACAUACACAGAGUAAGAAUUUUCAAAUAUGCCAGAGUUACGUAGGAGAACAAGCCACUCAGGAACACAAGGCUCUGUGUCUGAGAACUUUCAAUUUAUAUUUACAACAACAUAACAGGUGCUAUUUAAUUACCUUAAAAAUUUUGGGGUAUAAUUUGGGUGAAAGACAUACAAAAUUUGCAUUGUUUUGGAAGAGAGGCCUUUGUUAGUUGUGCUGUGAGAGCUACUAUUGUGGCUGUAGCAUUAAAGAAGGGAGGAGGGAGUAAAGGAUGAAUGUUGAUGAUAAAUUAGCUAAAAAUGUUUAAAUUCAGUCUAACAGAUUCUGUACUCUGCAGGUAUUGGUCAAAAAAGCUGCAGAACAUCUGGCAGUAAGCAUUUAGAAAUGAGUGUUGUUUUAGCUGUUGAUGCUCUAUACCAUUGUGUCCAGGCCAUUUUUGGUAAAACAAGGUGAUACAGCUCUGUAAAUUAUGUAUAGAGAAAAUAUUUUACAUGUUAUUCUGCUACCUGCUGUCCAAUAAAAGACAAUGUCCAUGAAGAGCUUAAUUUUUAGGAUUUAACCUUGAAAACACUUAAGUGAGCAGUCUUUGCUUGCAUGAUGCCAUUUGAAGUCACUGCUUUCAUACAUAAGGAUUACGUGUACUAAUAAGUGUUUGCAGAAUUGAACCCUAAAUUACCUUCAUUUACAUUAUGAGCAUGUUACCUGUG